rnacentral:rRNA from 1 species
CCUACGGGGGGCAGCAGUGAGGAAUAUUGGUCAAUGGGCGCGAGCCUGAACCAGCCAAGUCGCGUGAGGGAAGACGGUCCUAUGGAUUGUAAACCUCUUUUGUCGGGGAGCAAAAGACGCCACGCGUGGCGUUCCGAGAGUACCCGAAGAAAAAGCAUCGGCUAACUCCGUGCCAGCAGCCGCGGUAAUGCGGAGGAUGCGAGCGUUAUCCGGAUUUAUUGGGUUUAAAGGGUGCGCAGGCGGAAGAUCAAGUCAGCGGGAAAAUUGGGAGGCUCAACCUCUUCGAGCCGUUGAAACUGGUUUUCUUGAGUGAGCGAGAAGUAUGCGGAAUGCGUGGUGUAGCGGUGAAAUGCAUAGAUAUCACGCAGAACUCCGAUUGCGAAGGCAGCAUACCGGCGCUCAACUGACGCUCAUGCACGAAAGUGUGGGUAUCGAACAGGAUUAGAUACCCUUGUAGUC